GAGCCACUGCUCGACAGGUUUUGGCUUGGAUUCUCGGGCGAUCACCGCCCUGGCGAUUCCCUGCUCCCUCGCUUCCUCAGGGCGAUUCCGCGCCUCUUCCUCCUCCAGACCAGCAUUCCUCUCGCCCAGCUCAGCGUCCACCAUCUCCACGUCUCUUCCGGCGGCCUGCUCUGUCACCGUCGAUCUGGGCUUCACACCGGG
rnacentral:lncRNA from 1 species